CUCCUCCACAAUGAAGACACCCUGGAGUCGGGCCUAGACUUUUCAUUGUGACCCAAGUGAUCAGGAUAAGUGGUAAUCAGGAUAUUAAAUGGAAAACGCAAUCUACUGUUUGCAAAAGCCAUUAACAAAGUGAAGCCUAUUGGCUCUGCCUCGCACUUUGCUUUGGGAGUGGAAAAAAUUAUGAAGGCUUACGUUGGUCAAGUCAUUUCAAAGACUAGAUGGUGCAGCCUUACUUUGCAGAAGCAUUUAGCCACUGUCUUAAUCAGAUUGAAGAUAUGAUUAUCGUCAACAGCAGAAUCAAACAUAUGGUCUUCAAUGCCUUUGAAAAGCCUAGACAGAUUGAGAUCAGAUAGGACAGAUGUAGCAAUGGCAUCAGGAAUCCCCUUGCAUUGUGGCAGUUUCCCCUGGUUUGCAGCUAACAUCCUUAAGAACUGUUUUUCUGUCUCUUCACAUAUUUUGAUGACAUCUGAGGAAGGCUUGAAUAAUCCACCAUGAUCUUUGAAAGCAAGGAAAGCUGAUGAUGGUGAGUUGGUUUUAGACCCAAGUGCUUCACAGCAGUCCAAGCAACUCAUUCUUUUGGCAGCCAUCCGUGCAACAUACCCAGCAAUAUAAGAAACUGCAGCUUUCUUAUAUUCAGAUAGGACAGCAACAUUUGGCACAUCAGUGUAGUCAUGCUCAUUUUGCAUUGGGUUCCGAUAUGACAGAUCAUAUUUUCGAAUGAUUGCUGCCUCUGUGAUGGAAACCUUGAAAGUCAACAAAAUUUCUUGUUAAGGUGUCCCCAUUUACAUGAAGAAGAGCUGUCUGGUCUUGGCGCUGACAAUUGCCUCCACCUCCGUCAACACCACUUCUGAGGAGAAGACGCUUGUAUGCAGCUGUAAACUGUUGAGCAGUGGGGUUAUUAUUGAAACCACCAGCUGAUCGGAUGGCACAGAAAAACAGUUCUAAAUGGUCUUGGCUCAGCUUAUAUGUGAGAAGGUACUUCAAUGGCGCUACGGUAUUCUCAACUAAUGUCUCAAACAGUGCUUGUGUGCUCCUGAUUGAUGCAAGAAACCCAAUGAAACCUGUUUUACGUCUUGAAUGACAAAUCAGGUUGCCAGAAGGUUCCUUCAGGCCUGCAAUGUAGCUGUAGGCUUCAUUCAAGAAGGGGUUCCAGACACACUUAUUGGAUAUUCUGAGAGCAGAUUUGUAUCCUCUGGCAAAGGGAUUCCUCGAAUUCAGUAUAUCAAAUAGGUGGUCAAACAUUCUAAUAAAGCUGACUGUUGCCUCACUGUUUUGAAACUGGGGUAGCUUGAGAACAUUUGCACAGUAUUCAAUGGCAUCAGCUACACUGGAGCUUAGUGAUUGUGCUGCAAUGUUCACUUUCAUUUUCUGCUGAUGCCAAUUGAUGUGUGAUGCUUUAAGCUUAUUUGCCAACCUCAAUCCCUCUUUUUGCUGAAGCUUAUUUAGAUCUUUAACAUACUGCCAAAGAAUUCUACCUCCAGAUCGAUCAACUAAAACCCCACCUGCUGCAAAUGUAUUCCUUACUAGCUUAAGCAUGUGGCAAACAUCAAGAAUGACACUGACUUUUUCAUCAGAAUUCACGGGAUGCGGAAAAGCUGGGUCCAUAUGCUCUAGGCUCAAAGAUGCCCCAAGCUCUUUCAUCAUUGUGAAAUGGCAAGAAGGGCCAUCACAGGUUACAGAAACAACCUGUACCCCUGUGUCCCAUAAUCGUUGCAAGCAAACUGAAAUAAGAUUUGCCCUUUCACAUCCGCUAAGCCCAUCAAUGAAGAAGUAUCCACAUGGAACCUUCCAAGACCCAUUGAUACAAACUGCCAUCAAGACCAAAACAUCCUUAGCAACCGGAAGGGAAUCAUCAUCCUCAAUUCCAUCUCCCAAAUCAACAAACCCUCGAUACCUUAUUCCAUCCCAGGCCACAUGCUUGCGUAUUGACAUUUCAUCAAGCAUCAGGGAGCACACAACUUUUUGUCCAUUAUCCUUGGCAACUUCAACCUUGGUUCUGAUUGUGUCAAAAGCUGGCUUUGUGAAACCUGGCUCUGCAGGUAUUUUGCCAUACCACUUUCUUAGAUGAGCUUGAUGUGGAAGGCACAGAUUAAAUGUCUUGCGAAUGAAUUCAUAUGCCUUUGCAGAAUAGAAUUGCAAAGUUAGGGCAAAGGAUCGCAACUCUGGAGGAUACUUGCAUCCAUUUCCACGUUUUUUUGAAAUUAAUCGUUUAAUGAUUGCCAGUGGAACCCCUGAGAUACCUUUGUUUAGUCUUUCUUCACAAUUUGAAGAAAUCAUAUUCUUGUUGCGCAAGGCUUUAACAACACUUUUCAAUGAUUUAAUGUUGUUUUUUAGACGACGUGACUUUUGAUUGGAGCAUUUUAACUUUUUCUUCAGUAAAUUAAUGUGACUCUUGCAGCUACUUAACUUUUUUGCGAGAGAGUUGAAUGUCUCAGUUGAACUGUAGGUGUGAUCUGCCUUGACACACUCAAGAAUUCUCCUUUUGGUAGGUGGCUCAUAGCAUUCUGGCUUUUCCAUGUCUGUUAAUGGAGAAACUUGCAUGCUUCGUUCAGCUGGUGCCUUCCUCUCUUUUGUUGUCUAAAAAGAAAUUCUUAAUUAUGUCUUUAAUAUCAACCAUAUCUCUAUUACUAAGUUAAAUAGUGGUUUCUUUUUAUAUAGCUCUUUUACACUGGGGGCAAUUACAUUAAAAGAGUAAAAUCAUUCAAUAACCAUGAUAUCUGAAGAAAUAAGAGCUCAGUCCAAAAUACACUAAUUUAAACAGUUCAAUAAAUGCAUGUUUGCAUCAUUAUAAAAAUCUUGUUACAUUGUUGCAUAAUUUUUUUAUUUUGUGCUUCUCUCAUUGAAGAUAUCAUUUGCUAUAUCGUAAAAUGUAUGAAGGUUAUAUUAUCAGCAUCAAGUCUAACCUUUUUAAGAUAUUUUGGGAAUUGUUUAAAUCUUGUUGGUA